rnacentral:rRNA from 1 species
ACGGAAGGCAGCAGUGGGGAAUAUUGGACAAUGGGCGCAAGCCUGAUCCAGCCAUGCCGCGUGAGUGAUGAAGGCCUUAGGGUUGUAAAGCUCUUUCGUCCGGGACGAUAAUGACGGUACCGGAAGAAGAAGCCCCGGCUAACUUCGUGCCAGCAGCCGCGGUAAUACGAAGGGGGCUAGCGUUGUUCGGAAUCACUGGGCGUAAAGGGCGCGUAGGCGGCUUUGUAAGUCGGGGGUGAAAGCCUGUGGCUCAACCACAGAAUUGCCUUCGAUACUGCAUGGCUUGAGACCGGAAGAGGUUAGUGGAACUGCGAGUGUAGAGGUGAAAUUCGUAGAUAUUCGCAAGAACACCAGUGGCGAAGGCGGCUGACUGGUCCGGUUCUGACGCUGAGGCGCGAAAGCGUGGGGAGCAAACAGGAUUAGAUACCCUGGUA